UGAAAAGAGUCAGCAGUGGCUUAAAGGAAGGAGGACGGGAAGUAGUCCAGCAAAGGCAGGCAGGAGGCCAAGCGUAGGGACCGACCCACGACCAAAGAAGGCCCGAUGACCAAGAACUAUUCUAAGUUCUCAAUUUCGAUCCAUCAAAUCCUUUGCAACAUCAAGAACGAGCCAUGGUUCAAGCUGCCAAAACAAUCAAAAUGAGAUACUUCCAAGUUGAACCACACCAUGUAUUGCACAUUCCACCGAGGUCCUGGUCACACAACCAACGACUGCUACACUUGAAAGAACUACCUAUGAAAGAAGGCAAGGUCAACAAAGACUUGGACAAGCCAGCUACGCAGCCCCCUCCAAGCUUCCUCUGAGUCCCCCCUGCCUCCCCAGAAAAUGCAAUCGAGAAUGUAGUGAUAAUUGGGUCAGGCCCGGGUGGAUUCACGGCGGCAAUAUACGCAGCUCGAGCGAAUCUGAAGCUGCUAGUGUUCGAGGGGUACCAAUCCGGUCCGGGACGACAGUUGACGACCACUACUGAAGUUGAGAACUUCCCGGGAUUCCCAGAAGGGAUUAUGGGUUCGGAUUUAAUGGAGAGGAUGCGGAAACAAGCGGAGCGGUGGGGAGCAGAGCUGUACCAAGAAGAUGUUGAGUCUAUUGAUGUCAAAACUAGACCUUUUACUGUAGAGAGCAGAGAACGUAAGGUGAUAUAUUGUUUUUCA